rnacentral:rRNA from 1 species
AAAUUGCCCACUCUUUGCAGGAGGCAGUUAUGAGACGUGAAGAUGAGUAUCUUGUAAAGAGGGAUAGGAGAAUUGGAGGGCAAGUUUGGUGCCAGCAGCCGCGGUAAUACCGACUCCAAGAGUGUGUAUGAGAGAUGCUGCAGUUAAAAAGUCCGUAGUCAUAGAAGGGCAAAGAGAGAUGCGAGGUCUCACAGUGCGAUGAUGGAGGAGCCGAUGGGGAACAUAGUAUACCAGGGCGAGAGAUGAAAUGCCAAGACCCCUGGUGGACUGAGCGAGGCGAAGGCGAUGUUCUUGUAGGCAUUCGGUGAUCAAGGACGAAGGCUGGAGUAUCGAAAGUGAUUAGAUACCGCAGUAGUUCCAGCAGUAAAAGAUGCCGACAUGCUCAUUGGACACAGUGGGCAGGGAGAAAUCUUAGAGUUCGGGCUCUGGGGAUAGUAUGCUCGCAAGGGUGAAAAUUAAAGAAAUUGACGGAGCUACACCACAAGGAGUGGAUUGUGCGGCUUAAUUUGACUCAACGCGAGGAAACUUACCAGGGCCAAGUAUUGUGUAGAAACGAGCAAUACAGGAGUGGUGCAUGGUCGUUGGAAAUUGAUGGGAUGACUUUGACCUUAAAUGGUUGAAUGAGUGAGAUCUUUUGGACAUGUUCCGCACGGAACAGGAAGGAAAAGGCUAUAACAGAUCCGAGAUGCCCUCAGAUGCCCUGGGCUGCACGCGCAAUACAAUAGCAGGUAGAGAGAGAGACAGGAAGGUGCUCAGAUGGACUAUGUGCUGUAAGGCACAUACGAAAGAGGAAUUCCUAGUAAGUGUGUAUCAACAAUGGAU